CUCCAUGUUUCUCCGUGUGAGCUUACGGAGGUUUUUGGUUCGCUGAGGAGACUGCGAACCCAGAAGUGUUUCUGCUCCAGAGACAGCCACACCUGCCGCUCGUCGUCCUCUGCCAGCUGCAGUAGAUUACGCUCGUCGAGGGAGCGGCAUUUAAGACUGUAGCUGAGCUGAGGCCGACGCGGGAUCCUUGAGUCAGAACUCGAAUCUGGAACGGAGUGUGCUUUAAAGUCACGGUGUGGGAAUAGGAGUUUUUUGGAGUCGCCACUUUUCACGGACAUCUGCACUGUGUGGGAUUCAGGGAGAAUCGCCACGGACCACAGUGCCUGGAUUUUGCAUAUAGUUGUGUGUUUUCCACCCCCUGUAAAUAAAUCCACUGUCCUUCA